GAGCGGGUUCUUUAUCUUUUUGGGAUUGGAAUUCAAAUUUCAAAUACAAAAUUUGAAUGAGCAUUCCAAAUCAGAACUGAGUGAAUAAAUUUAAACGUAGGAUUUUAUAAUUCAAAUCUUCUAUCCUUGAUUUUCUGUCUCUCUCUUCGCUUCUUUCUUUCUACUUGGACUCUCUCUCUCUAAAAGAAAAAAGAACGAGCUCAUCGGUGAUGAAAACAGUAACUGGCAUAGAAGAUAGAGAAUGGGCAUGCUCAGUGUUGCGGGUUAGGAGAGCAUAAAAAGAAGACGAUGACAGAGGCUCCGAAUCUGUUUUCGGCAAGUAGCAAAGAUAAAGAACAAUAAAUUAGAGGUGGCGGUGGCUGUUGAUGCAGCUGUAAGGAGAAAGAAUAGUGGCACGGUGAGUGGUGCUACUACCGUCAGAGAAGAAGGAACAGCUGGCAACAAGUUGACGACUUCAGUCAAAAGACUGUAGAGCUUCGAGAUCCUGUCAUCGAUGGUGCAGCAGAGAGUUUGGAAUGCAAUAAGAGGAAACGCCGGAGCUCCGGUCCAAUGUUUUGAAAUUACAUGAGGUAAGUCAGAAAAAGCACGAAGCACCGAGUGAGGCCAAUCAAGUGGCACCCUUAGUUGAAUUGGUUAGUCAUAGUCCUGAAUGAUUUGGCUUACGUAGACUUCUGCUUUAUGACAUUCUAUAUGUUCAAUUCUGGACUAUUAUUAAGGCGUGAGCUUUAGAGUUUCACCUGGCCAAAUUUAGCAGAGUCGUUGAAGGUGGCAAAUUGAGCUGAGAUGAAUGCCAGACAGUCAGUGUCUCUAAGGGAGGCAGAGUUGCAGGGGGAGGUUGAGAGAAUGAUUGAUAAGGCAAAUAUUGAGAAACUUAGAGUUGAUUUACUCUCCGAUGAGUUGAGUAUGAGACCAAGGUUAGUGCCUUUAUUUACUUCAAAAAUGAAUUAGUUUUAUUUUAAUGGAACCUUUUUCUAUUUGAUUUACAAAGCUAAAAAGAAUCAUAAUUUUUAGCCCAGGGUUGAAAUUGUUCUUCAUUAUCAGAACCAGCAAGUCUAUGUUUUUUAUUGUAAGUAAAAGAAUACAGUAAGGAUCCUGUUGACAGUUGGGGAAUUUUCUUUUCUGUAACACUAAUAGUUUAAUCAUGUAUGCAAAUAGUUUGGUAAUAAUGACAUAUUUGAGAUUUAAUUACACAAAUUAUAACAUUAUUUCUAAAAAGAAAAAAAUAUAAGGUAUUGUAUGGCUUGGUAUACUCCCAAAACAAAAAAUCAUUUUUGCUUUAUAUAUGUUGUUGUUAACACAAUAAGAUUUGAUCAAUGCUCCUCUAUUGUCUAUUUGUCUAUGACAUUUUCUGGAUUUUUUUCUUCGGAAGGUUGUUUGGGAAAAAUGUCAUGGGAUUUAAUAGUUUGAAUCUUAUUGGAUUGCAACUGCUAACAAAAAAAUUGGAGUUGCCUGUAAAUAUUGUAUUUCUUAAAAAUUUGUUGGUUGGUGUUGUUCCUCGAGAGGGUGCAACAAACUUUAUGAUACUUGGUUUAGGGGACAUGGUAUGACAUUCUUACUCCUUGAGAUGCACUACUAAACAUCUUUAUUUCUUAAUUGUGUUCUUAGUCCAAUAUAAAUUAUCUAUCACCAACAACACAGUUUCACCAAUUUUUUUCAUAGAUUCUAAUUUUUAGUAUUCUUGAAUC